rnacentral:rRNA from 1 species
CCUACGGGAGGCAGCAGUGAGGAAUAUUGGUCAAUGGACGAAAGUCUGAACCAGCCAUGCCGCGUGCAGGAUGACGGCUCUAUGAGUUGUAAACUGCUUUUGUAUUAGGGUAAACACCCCUACGUGUAGGGGCUUGAAAGUAUAAUACGAAUAAGGAUCGGCUAACUCCGUGCCAGCAGCCGCGGUAAUACGGAGGAUGCGAGCGUUAUCCGGAUUUAUUGGGUUUAAAGGGUGCGCAGGCGGCCUGUUAAGUCAGCGGUAAAAGCCCGGGGCUCAACCCCGGCGAGCCGUUGAAACUGGCGGGCUGGAGUUGGAGAGAAGUACGCGGAAUGCGCGGUGUAGCGGUGAAAUGCUUAGAUAUCGCGCAGAACCCCGAUUGCGAAGGCAGCGUACCGGCUCCACACUGACGCUGAGGCACGAAAGCGUGGGUAUCGAACAGGAUUAGAUACCCGAGUAGUC